rnacentral:lncRNA from 1 species
UUUUGAUGGCAAAUAUAGGUCUAAAACAAAUGCAAAAAAGUAAAAUAUGUUUUAACUGCAGUAAAUUUGGACAUGGUGAAAUAGACUAUCGUAGGAAUGAUAAUAAAAGGAAAAAUAAGGAGAGUGGUAUGGCGAAUGUUGCCACUGGGUCGAAUUAUGACUUGUGUGAGGUUUAGUGAGAGUAAAUUUGGCUACUACAUGUGCAUCAGUGUGUAAUCCUUUCUGUAUGUAUAAUUGCUUAAUUUUGUAGCAUUGAUAUGUUACACUUUUAAUUUGUUUGUGUCUAUAAUUGCAUGAAUUGGAGUGAUCUAAUUACUUUGUGUAAUGUGUUUACAUACAUAGUGGGUUGAGAUCUAGGAGUGAUCUAAUUACUUUGUGUAAUGUGUUUACAUACAUAGUGGGUUGAGAUCUAUGGCGUACUCCUUUUUGCUCUGUGAAUGGUGUGGGAGAGUAGGGUAGUGAGUAGAAAGAAGGACGACCAUUUUUUUCCUGUAUCUUUGUGAGCUUGUAUGGUUUGUAAGAUUAUUUGGGGGCAACCACGUGUGAGUUAUCUUCUUCCUCUUUAUAAGCUUCUUUUGUGAGUAUAGUGAGUAACCAAUUCUUUUUCUAUUCUUUUGUGAGUACCACAUUCACCCUUUCCUUUGUGAAUUUUUUCGCAUUAGAGUUGGAGUAACUUUAUGGUGGGUGUGUCAAUUUAAAUUGCGC